rnacentral:rRNA from 1 species
UGGGGAAUAUUGCACAAUGGGCGCAAGCCUGAUGCAGCCAUGCCGCGUGUGUGAAGAAGGCCUUCGGGUUGUAAAGCACUUUCAGCGAGGAGGAAGGUGGUGAAGCUUAAUACGUCAUCAAUUGACGUUACUCGCAGAAGAAGCACCGGCUAACUCCGUGCCAGCAGCCGCGGUAAUACGGAGGGUGCAAGCGUUAAUCGGAAUUACUGGGCGUAAAGCGCACGCAGGCGGUUUGUUAAGUCAGAUGUGAAAUCCCCGGGCUCAACCUGGGAACUGCAUUUGAAACUGGCAAGCUAGAGUCUCGUAGAGGGGGGUAGAAUUCCAGGUGUAGCGGUGAAAUGCGUAGAGAUCUGGAGGAAUACCGGUGGCGAAGGCGGCCCCCUGGACGAAGACUGACGCUCAGGUGCGAAAGCGUGGGGAGCAAAACAGGAUUAGAUACCCUGGUAGUCCACGCUGUAAAACGAUGUCNAUUUUGGAGGUUGUGCCCUUGAGGCGUGGCUUCCGGAGCUAACGCGUUAAAUCGACCGCCUGGGG